UAAUUAAAAAAUUAAUUGCGACUUGACUCAUCAUUACUGCAGUGGUAGAUGAGGGGACUUAAUCUCAAUGCCUUUUAGUUUCCAAGAGCAAAAGUGUGUACCAAAGAAGCACAGCAAUCGGCGAUGGAACCUAAUAAGUUCUUCAAGAUUAUGUUAUCUCCUCGUCCCUUCAAAUUAGUCUUCGUCUUUUUUACUCUUGUUGCAACUGUGCAAAGCUUCGCAUUGUGAAUCCCAUGAUGUAUCGUGCCCUAGCUCUCUUCCAUUGAAGUUUUAUUGAUUUCCACCUACUGAUUCCAAUCUAGCAUUAUUACUCUCAUCCUUCUUAUCAGUGUUGUCUUCAGCACCCAGGAUGGCAAACGCAUUUCGUGUAUGGACUGUAUUUCUAGCUCCUGACUAUUUUUCCCUAUAUUGCUUUUCUAACUCUGGAUUCAAAGCUCUGUACUCAUCUUCUCUAUGGCCUUGUAACUUGCAAUGUUUUGCAAUAUUUGGAAAGGUCUUUCCCUGUUUGCAGUGGUCAAAUCAAUUGUCAAGGGCCUUCCUACUACUGAUGCCAUUGAAAAAAUAGCAUCCCUUGCAGAGAAGUUUGGAGACAAUUAAGGGAAACUUACCCAUGCUACUGCUAUUGAUGUUUCUUCAUCCGACUUGAACCAAUGGUACCAAAUCAAUGGUCGCAUCUGACAAUAUCUAGCAUGAAUUUUUAUGUAAUAUUCAUCUUAACAUAAUCUUCCAACAAAGUGUGCUAAAUCAAUAUAUGUUUAUCUUCAAUUAAUCCAAUUGUACACGGACCUUUAAUUGAACAUUGAUCAGGUAUAGCUUUUCUUGA